AACUCCGGCGAACAGAAAACAGGCCGAGAAUUUGAUUUGACAUAUCAAUAAUUUAUAACAAAAUUAUAGUUUGCAUUGCCGAGCCCCAAACACAGACACACAUGCACACAGAUCGAAGCACCGGAACUGCUGCAGGCUGGUAAUUACCACCAAAAAACUGGCCAUAAAGUGUCGGAGUUGGCCGGAAUAUCGGCGGGACUCAAUGAGUUGUCUAUGCCAGCUCCACAAUGCGUCGAUUAAAAUCGGUGUUACAAUUUAUGCAAGCGAGUUUUUAUGCGAUUUCUAUCGACAACUGCUGCGGUAACAAGUUUUGGCCGAUUAUUUCUGAUGCCGUUGCCAUUUCUGGCCAUUUUCGGCUGCUGUUCACGUGUGUAAUUGUGGCUAAACAAGCAAUUUAUUGGCCCCGAUUGGAAAUUGGCAAUCCUCUAUCAUUGCACCAGCAUGCAAAAUCAACAAACGAUGGGAACAAUAUUGUAUUAUUGUCUGCACUCGGCCUUCCCAUUUUCCAGCGGGCAUUCCAGGCGCCCAAAUUUGGCAACCAAAAAUGUAUCGCCAUCUGACCGAAUCGACACCUCCACAAGCCCGCUCCCUCGACCGCUCGACCAACUACCGUUUGCAUGGAGGCUUUAUUAAUAGAAAUAAAUCAAGUUUUGUGCACCGACAUCAAUUAGCCGCAGCCGAGGCGAAAUUCAGAGUUGGCUUCCUACCCACUGGCGUCAGAUACAAAUGUAUCUGAAUCUGUAUCUGCACAUGCUUGUUGCCGCUGCCGCUCGGUUUGUUAUUCGGUGUUGGGCCGGUCGUGUUACAGCCGCCACAUAUGUUAAUAAUUUGCAAAAUGCAUUUGUCUGGCGAUAACACGCAGGUGAUACAGCGUAUGGCACCUGAGAUCUGUCAGAGCCAAUCCCUUGAUUCCAAUGGCGCCUGGGGAGUUUUGCUAGCAAUUAGCGCAGUCGGAUUUGAAUUCGAGUUCGGAUUCGGAUUCGGCCUUAUCGCGACUUAUGAAGCUAUCAGAGCGCAAGGCUGAGAAGAUACAGCCCUGUCAUAAGUCAGAAAUGAAAUCGGAGCCCGAACGGGACCCCAAUCAAUGGGUAGAAGCUGCCUCCAUUAGAUAAAAAUUCACUGGUCCAUAGAUAAAGCCUUAAACGCAGCGAUGCAUUCCACCGAUAAGGCGACAGACAUCGGCCAAUUCAUAAUUCGUGAAGUCGGUUUUUUUGGGGCCUACACUGUGAAAAAUUCUAAUAUAUUACCAUAAAUUAAAACAACGAAAUCUAAGUUAAAAGCAGUGCUUUGUUUUCUGUGUAGCAGCAACAAUGUCGCGCAGGCGUAACUCGAAACCAAAGGGGACAUACUCGUAAAUUGUUGGCCUGGAGGGAGAGGUAAAGGGAAGACAACCAAAAGCGUACACAGAACGAGCGCAGCCGAAACGAAUAUUUCUGGUUUUUAUUUCAUCGCCCAGCGAAGAGAGUUGACAUCCAGACGCACCGUUCUUGGCCCGAUAUCUCCACGUUCGUCGCCAUCAGCCAUCAGCAGCCGCAUGCCGUCCUCGACUUGGUCUUCGUCUUGGCCGUUAUCGCCCGUUUAGGCAACGCCGCUGGGAGCUCAGACUCCAACUCGGACUCCAACCCCAAUUCCAAUUCCGAAUUGGACCCCGAGUCAGACUCCAACUCCCAUUAUGAUAAAUCAUUUUUGUUUUUAUUUCUUGACAUGUUUUCC
rnacentral:sRNA from 13 species